rnacentral:rRNA from 1 species
AUAUAUAUAAUAAGAUUUUGGAAGGCUAGCUGUUUUAAUUAAUAAGGUAUUUCUAAGUUUGUUUUGAUUUAUUUAUUAUCAAAAUAGUGUAAGAAUGAUAAAUUAAAGGAGUAUCGGUUAGAGAAACUUUGAAAGAGAGCUAGAGUGGUAGUACCGUGAGGGAAAGUUGAAAUAAUGUGAAAUAUGAAAGAGUGAAUAAGAAGAGAUUAAAGCUUGUACCUUUUGUAUGAUGGUUCAGUAAGGUUAAGUAAAGAAAAUUUUAGUUCCCGAAGAUAAACGAGCUAGUAUAUUCUACUUUUGAGAGAGAAGGAAAUUUUUACUGUUGCAAUAGUAAGGUUUGAGGAUAUAUUAGGUGUGAAAUGCUUAUCGUGUUUAUGGAUAGCUGGUUCUUUUGGAAAUUGGUGUUAGCUAAGUGCAUAUUUUUAUUGGAAUGGUAGUACUUUAGUUGAGUAAAGGUAUGAUUUUAAUAAUAGUAUAUAGUGGUGAGACAUAAAGGGAUAAGUCUUUUUGUCAAGUAGGAAAAAGCUUUGUCUAUUAAUUAAGAGUGAUUUGAGUUAGAAAUGCGAUGGUAGGUUGAAAAGAAGUAGGAUUAAUAGCAUCUAUCUUUGAAGAUAGCGUUAAAGCUUAUUUAUUUGUAUCAACGUAAGAAAUUGAAAAGAAUAGUACUCUAAAUUAUAGAGGUUUACAAGAGAAUUUCGUGAGAGCGAGUGUUAUAAUGCUGGAAUUAGUAGAGUGAAUAUUGUUUGUGUAUUAAUCAAUCCUAACAUUGGAUGGAGUAAGGUUUACUGUCGAGAAGAGGUUUUAGUGGAUUGUCUACUAACGCAAGUGAUAUAAAAGUAUGAAUGUAAGGGAAAGGAAUUCGGCAAAUAAUGAUUUCGCCUGUUUACCAAAAACAUCGCCUUUUGUAAAGAGUCUAAUAUAUAAAAGGUCCUGCCUGCCCGGUGACUUAGUUAAACGGCCGCGGUAUUUUGACCGUGCAAAGGUAGCAUAAUCAUUUGCCUUUUAAAUGGGGGCUGGUAUGAAUGGCAAGACGGGAAUCAAACUGUCUCUCUCUUAUGUAUUUUGAAAUUAAUAUUUCCGUGAAGAAGCGGAGAUGGAGUCGUAGGACGAGAAGACCCUAUCGAGCUUUAGUCGAAUAAUUAUAGGCUAGUGGUGGUAUUUUAUAUGCUAAUAAGUUAUUUUAUUAGUUUGAAAGGUACUGUUAAUAAUACUGAGGUUAUAUAUUGUAGACUUAGGUUGGGGCAACCGCGGAGAAUAAGAAUCCUCCGCUGAAUUAUUGUUAAAUAUUAUAUUUUCGAUAGUUAUGUUUAUUAGAAGUGAUCCACUUGUAAGUGAUUAAAAAAUAAGUUACCGUAGGGAUAACAGCGUAAUUUUUUUGGAGAGUUCAUAUUGAUAAAGAAGUUUGCGACCUCGAUGUUGGAUCGGGAUUUCCUAGAGAUGCAGCAGUUUCUAAGGGUUGGUCUGUUCGACCAUUAAAAUCCUACGUGAUCUGAGUUCAGACCGGCGUGAGCCAGGUCAGUUUCUAUCCACGAUUUAGUAAUAGUGGUUUUUCUUAGUACGAAAGGACCAGGAAGGCAGUAUCCAUGCUUAAAAGUAUAUACUAAAUAA